GCAGCUAACGCAUUAAGUAAUCCGCCUGGGGAGUGCGACCGCAAGGUUGAAACUCAAAAGAAUUGACGGGGGCCCGCACAAGCGGUGGAGCAUGUGGUUUAAUUCGAAGCUACGCGAAGAACCUUACCAGGUCUUGACAUCUUCUGCCAACCUAAGAGAUUAGGCGUUCCCUUCGGGGACAGAAUGACAGGUGGUGCAUGGUUGUCGUCAGCUCGUGUCGUGAGAUGUUGGGUUAAGUCCCGCAACGAGCGCAACCCUUAUUACUAGUUGCCAGCAUUUAGUUGGGCACUCUAGUGAGACUGCCGGUGACAAACCGGAGGAAGGUGGGGACGACGUCAAAUCAUCAUGCCCCUUAUGACCUGGGCUACACACGUGCUACAAUGGAUGGUACAACGAGUCGCGAAACCGCGAGGUUUAGCUAAUCUCUUAAAACCAUUCUCAGUUCGGACUGUAGGCUGCAACUCGCCUACACGAAGUCGGAAUCGCUAGUAAUCGCGGAUCAGCAUGCCGCGGUGAAUACGUUCCCGGGCCUUGUACACACCGCCCGUCACACCAUGAGAGUUUGUAACACCCAAAGCCGGUGGGGUA
rnacentral:rRNA from 1 species